UACAGAGGGGGCAAGCGUUGUUCGGAAUUACUGGGCGUAAAGCGCACGUAGGCGGCUCUUUAAGUCGGGGGUGAAAUCCUGGAGCUCAACUCCAGAACUGCCUUCGAUACUGAAGAGCUUGAGUCCGGGAGAGGUGAGUGGAACUGCGAGUGUAGAGGUGAAAUUCGUAGAUAUUCGCAAGAACACCAGUGGCGAAGGCGGCUCACUGGCCCGGUACUGACGCUGAGGUGCGAAAGCGUGGGGAGCAAACAGG
rnacentral:rRNA from 1 species